rnacentral:rRNA from 1 species
GACGAACGCUGGCGGCGUGCUUAACACAUGCAAGUCGAACGGAAAGGCCCUGCUUUUGUGGGGUGCUCGAGUGGCGAACGGGUGAGUAACACGUGAGUAACCUGCCCUUGACUUUGGGAUAACUUCAGGAAACUGGGGCUAAUACCGGAUAGGAGCUCCUGCUGCAUGGUGGGGGUUGGAAAGUUUCGGCGGUUGGGGAUGGACUCGCGGCUUAUCAGCUUGUUGGUGGGGUAGUGGCUUACAAAGGCUUUGACGGGUAGCCGGCCUGAGAGGGUGACCGGCCACAUUGGGACUGAGAUACGGCCCAGACUCCUUCGGAGGCAGCAGUGGAGAAUAUUGCACAAUGGGCGGAAGCCUGAUGCAGCAACGCCGCGUGCGGGAUGACGGCCUUCGGGUUAUAAACCGCUUUCGCCUGUGACGAAGCGUGAGUGACGGUAAUGGGUAAAGAAGCACCGGCUAACUACGUG